rnacentral:rRNA from 1 species
UGGGGAAUUUUGGACAAUGGGGGCAACCCUGAUCCAGCCAUGCCGCGUGCGGGAAGAAGGCCUUCGGGUUGUAAACCGCUUUUAGUCGGGAAGAAAAGGCAAGGGUUAACACCUCUUGUUCUUGACGGUACCGGCGGAAUAAGCACCGGCUAACUACGUGCCAGCAGCCGCGGUAAUACGUAGGGUGCGAGCGUUAAUCGGAAUUACUGGGCGUAAAGCGUGCGCAGGCGGUUUGUUAAGUCUGAUGUGAAAGCCCCGGGCUCAACCUGGGAAUGGCAUUGGAAACUGGGCAGCUAGAGUGCGGUAGAGGGUAGUGGAAUUCCCGGUGUAGCAGUGAAAUGCUUAGAGAUCGGGAGGAACAUCUGUGGCGAAGGCGACUGCCUGGACCAGCACUGACACUGAGGCACGAAAGCGUGGGGAGCAAACA